GUGGAUUAGAUACCCUGGUAGUCCAUGCCGUAAACGUUGGGCACUAGGUGUGGGGCUCAUUCCACGAGUUCCGUGCCGCAGCAAACGCAUUAAGUGCCCCGCCUGGGGAGUACGGCCGCAAGGCUAAAACUCAAAGAAAUUGACGGGGGCCCGCACAAGCGGCGGAGCAUGCGGAUUAAUUCGAUGCAACGCGAAGAACCUUACCAAGGCUUGACAUACACCGGAAACUUCCAGAGAUGGUUGCCCCGCAAGGUCGGUGUACAGGUGGUGCACGGCCGUCGACAACU
rnacentral:rRNA from 1 species